GUGCCCUCUUAAGGCUGACUUGGUGCUUUCAGAGGCUAACACAGAAGGGUAAAGUAAAUAUCUCCAUAAAGUCAGAGAGGAGACAGUACAAACUCCUCCUUGGUUCCUGUCUGGAGUCAUCACU